rnacentral:rRNA from 1 species
UACGGAGGGGGCUAGCGUUGUUCGGAAUUACUGGGCGUAAAGCGCACGUAGGCGGCUUUGCAAGUUAGAGGUGAAAGCCCGGAGCUUAACUCCGGAAUUGCCUUUAAAACUGCAUCGCUAGAAUUGUGGAGAGGUGAGUGGAAUUCCGAGUGUAGAGGUGAAAUUCGUAGAUAUUCGGAAGAACACCAGUGGCGAAGGCGACUCACUGGACAGUCACUGACGCUGAGACGCGAAAGCGUGGGGAGCAAACAGG